rnacentral:lncRNA from 1 species
CACUUGGCAGUUUUAUUUAUAAAAGUAAAUUAACAAAUUGGCAUUCUGAUUUAGAUAUAGCUCUCUUCGGAGUUUGUUUAGCUGGUUAAGCUCCCCUGAGCCUGAACAACCCUGGGCUUGCUAAUAAAUCAAGUCUAAGGAUCUCCAAAGCAGAGGAUCACACCCUGGGAUUCAGUGUCCACAGCAAAGAACUGAGGUCCUUUGCAGUAUGCAGUCCUAAGUUAGUGUCAAGCUCAUCCCCUUCUCUGAUAUUUUAAAAUUCACUUUCUGACUUCAACACACUACUUCUGUUACAUAUCACUGUAUGAAAAUAAAAUGAUGUCUCUGUGGCAUUAGUUACCUUUGGCUGCAUAACAACUUACCCCCAAACUUAAAACAACCCACAUGUAUUGUCUCACAGUUUCCGUGGGUCAAGAGUCUGGGCAGGCUUAGCAAGUUCCUGCACUUCAGGGUCUCUUACAGACUUGCAGUCAAGGUGUCAGCUGCGAUGUAGUGAUCUUAAGGUUCAACUGGGCAAGGAUCUAUUUCCAGGCUCACAUGGUGGUUGGCAAGAUUGAGAUCCCUGUGGACUGUUGGACUGAGGGUCUCAGUUUCUUGCUGGCUGUUGGCUGGAGGCCUGCUUCAGUUUCAUGCCACAUAGGCAGCUCCAACAUGGCAAAUUGCAUCAUCAAAGCCAGCAAGGCAGAGAGUCUGUUAGCAAGAGGAGAUUGCAACCUUUUGGCACUUAAUCAGUGAAGUGACAUCCCAUCAUCCAUCUUUGCCACAAUCUGUUGGUAGAAGAGAGUCACCAGACAAACCCACAUUCAAGAGAAUGGGAUUAUACAAAGGUACAUAUACCACGAGGCAGGAUCAUUGGGGACCAUCUGAGAGGCUAUCCACACCACUGUGUAUCAUCAUAAUGGAGACUGUGGCUCAUUGAGGAUACAAGCUAAGCUGCUUGGAUAUAGAAGUCCAAAAGCAGUGGCUUAAAUGGGAUAGAAGUUUCGUUGUCUCUCUUUAAUAACAGGCCAGAGAUCUGCAAACAGUGCAGUGUGGAGGGGUAGCUGUAGUUCCUUUUAUCCUGUGGCUUAUCCCUUCCUCAGAAUGCUGUUUAAAUCCCCAUGAAGCAAACUGAUUUACCAUCUCAUUUUCAUUCUACUACCGGCCAGGCGCAGUAGCUCACG